rnacentral:rRNA from 1 species
CCUACGGGAGACAGCAGUAGGGAAUAUUGCUCAAUGGGGGAAACCCUGAAGCAGCAACGCCGCGUGGAGGAUGAAGGUUUUAGGAUUGUAAACUCCUUGUGUUAGAGAAGAGGAUGACGGUAUCUAACGAAUAAGCACCGGCUAACUCCGUGCCAGCAGCCGCGGUAAUACGGAGGGUGCAAGCGUUACUCGGAAUCACUGGGCGUAAAGAGUGCGUAGGCGGGGUAAUAAGUCAGAUGUGAAAUCCUGUAGCUUAACUACAGAACUGCAUUUGAAACUGUUACUCUGGAGUGUGGGAGAGGUAGGUGUCAUUCUUGGUGUAGGGGUCCACUCCGUCGAGAUC